CUCCUCUUCGAAUUCUCGUCUACGAUCUCCAGAGACAUGCCUUUUUUUCGAAUGUGGAAUUUUUUUGGUGUUCAGCGUAAAGAUUGUCAUUGAAACGUCAUUAUCUUCACAAAAUUGAAACACACAUUCUCCAUAAAUUGCAGCGUUACAAAGCUUAUCAGCGCACGAACCAUCAAAUUUGAUUAUAAAUUUUUCUUCAUUGUCAUUACUAUCAAGUUUAUAAAUUUUUUGACUUUUGAAACUAUAUGCACAAGUAAAAUCAGGAUCUUGAUCUUCACACUCACUAAUUUGACGUGAACUUUCACUAUCCUUGGAGGAAGUAGUUUCAUUUUCAAUUGUCUCUGCAAAAUUUGAAUUUCGUCCUUGUUGAUACAAAUUGAAAAUAUCAUUUCUAUUUUGACGACAAUCAAAAUACAAAGAAAUUGGAGUCUUUAGAUAUUUUCCAGAGUCAAGUUUCCAAACAGCGCAAAUUUCUUUCCAGAUUGGAUCGCCUUUCGGUUUCAAUGUUCCAUCGUCAAUACAAAUAUCAAAAUCUUGUAUCCUUUUUAAAACUUCAACAAAUGAAAUAGCAGCCCAAGAUGUCAUAUUUAUUACAGUUUAUUAAUAUAAUUAAAUAAUAGACGAAUUGAAUAAAUAAAAAAAUAAUCGAUUGCAUAUAAAAAAAUUGUAUUUAUAAAAUGGCGAUGGGAACAAUUUUAACAGUAGUCAUUGUUACUUUGAUAGUGUUUUGUUUUUGGUAAAAAAUUAAAAUGGGCGAUCCCCUUUAGAUUUGAAACAGAUUUUCGAUCUAAAACAAAUUUUAAAUGAUGAAAUUUUUUAUGAUAAAAAAAAAAAAUAAUUAUUCGUUUGUUUACAAAUUAAUUAAUGAAAUUUCUACUUCUUAGAAAAAAAGAGUUUAAAUUAUUGAAAUUUUUCAUUUUUAUGUGAUAGAGGAAUCGUAUUAUUUUUUUAUUCAUUUUCAGAAACAUAAAAGAAUGAUUUAAAUUAAAAAUCUUAAUUAAAUAAAAUAUAAUGUUACUUAAUAAAAAAAUUCGUAAUUGAGAUAGUAAAAAAAAAAAAAAAAAGUAAACAACUAAAAAAUUCAAUAAAAUAAUCAUAAAUAAAAUAAUUUAGAUAGUUUAACGAAAUUUAUUUCACGUAAUAUUGAUAAUAAAUAAAUGAAAAUAAUAAGUAAAUGAUUUGAUAAUCUACUAAAAUUAAAACGCAUGAUUUUAAGUCAAUAGAGCAAAAAUAUAUUGAAAAUGGAAUUUCAGAUCGCACUUUAGACGUAUAUAAUUUACCACAAGAAGAUGUUGAUGAGUGGUACUCAGUAAUUUUUAAAAUAAUUAAAGCUCAUUUACGUUAUCCUGUAUUAAUGGUUAAAAUUAAUGAUUUCAAACAAUGCUUACAAAAAUUAAGAAUGGAAAAUGAAUAAAUUAAAAGUUUAUAUGCAGUACUUUAUGCUUAAAACGUUCAUCACUAAUUAAUAGUUUAUCGUAAGAAAUUACAUUAAUUCCUACAUUGAAGUCAUGUUGUUGGACAGAUAUAACAGUAUCAAUCAAUGUUAAAUCAUCAUCAUGUAGCGGAACCAACAUUAUUAAUGAAGUCGACAUUAUUGUGGAGUAUUAGUAAAAAGUAUUUAUUCGAAUCAAAUCUUGGCAAAUUUAAUUUCAUAAGAUAUAUGGUCGUAACUUUGCUACAAAAUAUAUAUGAUAACGAAGAACAUUAACAAAAAUCUGUUCAUUAAUUGAAUUGAAUUUAAUUAUUUUAUAUUUAUAUAUUAAAUAAAGCCAUAAUU